ACAUGCAAGUCGAGGGGCAGCAUGAACUUAGCUUGCUAAGUUUGAUGGCGACCGGCGCACGGGUGAGUAACACGUAUCCAACCUGCCGAUGACUCGGGGAUAGCCUUUCGAAAGAAAGAUUAAUACCCGAUGGCAUAGCUCUUCCGCAUGGUAGAACUAUUAAAGAAUUUCGGUCAUCGAUGGGGAUGCGUUCCAUUAGGUUGUUGGCGGGGUAACGGCCCACCAAGCCUUCGAUGGAUAGGGGUUCUGAGAGGAAGGUCCCCCACAUUGGAACUGAGACACGGUCCAAACUCCUACGGGAGGCAGCAGUGAGGAAUAUUGGUCAAUGGACGAGAGUCUGAACCAGCCAAGUAGCGUGAAGGAUGACUGCCCUAUGGGUUGUAAACUUCUUUUAUACGGGAAUAAAGUGAGGCACGUGUGCCUUUUUGUAUGUACCGUAUGAAUAAGGAUCGGCUAACUCCGUGCCAGCAGCCGCGGUAAUACGGAGGAUCCGAGCGUUAUCCGGAUUUAUUGGGUUUAAAGGGAGCGUAGGCGGACGCUUAAGUCAGUUGUGAAAGUUUGCGGCUCAACCGUAAAAUUGCAGUUGAUACUGGGUGUCUUGAGUACAGUAGAGGCAGGCGGAAUUCGUGGUGUAGCGGUGAAAUGCUUAGAUAUCACGAAGAACUCCGAUUGCGAAGGCAGCUUGCUGGACUG
rnacentral:rRNA from 1 species